UACGUAGGGUCCGAGCGUUGUCCGGAAUUCCUGGGCGUAACGAGCUCGUAGGUGGUUUGUCACGUUGUUCGUGAAAACCCACAGCUCAACUGUGGGCGUGCGAGCGAUACGGGCAGACUAGAGUACUGCAGGGGAGACUGGAAUUCCUGGUGUAGCGGUGGAAUGCGCAGAUAUCAGGAGGAACACCCAUGGCGAAGGCAGCUCUCUGGCUUCACCCUGACGCUGAGGCGCGAAAGCGUGGGGAGCGAACGGG
rnacentral:rRNA from 1 species